rnacentral:misc_RNA from 1 species
UCCGGUUUAUCACCGGCAGUUUCCUUAAAGUGCCCGGCAUGACCCGCUGGUAACUAAGGAUAAGGGUUGCGCUCGUUGCGGGACUUAACCCAACAUCUCACGACACGAGCUGACGACAGCCAUGCAACAUCUGUGAUGGUCCGGCCGAACCGACUCGUAGAUCUCUCUACAAUACGACCACCAUGUCAAGGCCUGGUAAGGUUUUUCGCGUAGCAUCGAAUUAAACCGCAUGUUCCACCGCUUGUGCGGGUCCCCGUCAAUUCCGUUUGAGUUUUAGUCUUGCGACCGUACUUCCCAGGCGGAGUGCUUAACGUGUUAACUUCGACACCGAGAACUUAAGUCCCGAUAUCUAGCACUCAUAGUUUAGGGCGUGGACUAC